rnacentral:rRNA from 1 species
GAGUUUGAUCGUGGCUCAGAUUGAACGCUGGCGGUAUGCUUAACACAUGCAAGUCGAACGGUAACAGGCUAGCUUGCUAGCGCUGACGAGUGGCGGACGGGUGCGUAACGCGUAGGAAUCUGCCUAUUAGUGGGGGACAACCUGGUGAAAACCAGGCUAAUACCGCAUACGCCCUACGGGGGAAAGCAGGGGAUCUUCGGACCUUGCGCUAAUAGAUGAGCCUGCGUUAGAUUAGCUUGUUGGUGAGGUAAUUGGCUCACCAAGGCGACGAUCUAUAGCUGGUCUGAGAGGACGAUCAGCCACACUGGGACUGAGACACGGCCCAGGACUCCUACGGGAGACAGGCAGUGGGGAAUAUU